rnacentral:rRNA from 1 species
CUGACCUCAAAUCAGGUAGGAC